UAAUAAAUGACCCACGCUAAUCAGCAGCACAUUGUGACUUUAUAUAUUCCGUAUGACAUUUAACUCGAUAACAAUGUGUACAAUAUACAUACUAGCUUCAAUUACGAUAUUUCAAAUGGAUCGACAUACAAAAGACACAAAACAGCACACGCAUUAUAUGCGUGCACCUAAUAUACAAUAUUUCACGACAUGGUCUACUUUCCAGACCUCGUUGAAGAUAUAUAUAUAUAUAUAUAAGAAAUCCAUUAAAUAAAUAAUGCCUUAUAAGUAAGCCACAAACGAGAGAUCCCAGACGCAUGUAGAGGUCCUAUUACCUAUCCCAAAAUUAAAAUAUUGCGACUUCACCAUAUAUAUCUGUCCAUUCGAAGGUCUCGCUCUUAUUUUUUCCCUUGUAUAGUAAGCACAGUGUGUCAAAAUAAUUAUGAUGAUCUGAAAGCCCGGCAAACUUCAAAGCCAACAAAAAUAGAAGACCUUUGUUUGGUGUUGAAUUGUACCUCACCGUGCGCAAAUCCUUUGUCCCCAACUCAGAUUAAAUAUCAUUCAUCGUGGUUGCACGGUUCAUCUCAGCUGGAUCAAUUGGGCGAUUACUUAAAAAAACACGAAAAUACAAUUAGGACUCAAAUCAAUUUUUACUUCACUAU